rnacentral:rRNA from 1 species
AGAGUUUGACCCUGGCUCAGGAUGAACGCUGGCGGCGUGCUUAACACAUGCAAGUCGAACGAUCCUUCGGGAUAGUGGCGGACGGGUGAGUAACGCGUGGGAAUCUGCCCUCAGGAGGGGGAUAACGGCUGGAAACGGCCGCUAAUACCCCAUAUGCCGAGAGGUGAAAUGAAUUUCGCCUGAGGAUGAGCCCGCGUCUGAUUAGCUAGUUGGUGGGGUAAUGGCCUACCAAGGCAACGAUCAGUAGCUGGUCUGAGAGGAUGAUCAGCCACACUGGGACUGAGACACGGCCCAGACUCCUACGGGAGGCAGCAGUGGGGAAUUUUCCGCAAUGGGCGAAAGCCUGACGGAGCAACGCCGCGUGAGGGAUGAAGGCCUCUGGGCUGUAAACCUCUUUUCUCAAGGAAGAAGACCUGACGGUACUUGAGGAAUAAGCCACGGCUAAUUCCGUGCCAGCAGCCGCGGUAAUACGGGAGUGGCAAGCGUUAUCCGGAAUUAUUGGGCGUAAAGCGUCCGCAGGCGGCCUUGUAAGUCUGUUGUUAAAGCGUGGAGCUCAACUCCAUUUAAGCAAUGGAAACUACAAGGCUGGAGUGUGGUAGGGGCAGAGGGAAUUCCCGGUGUAGCGGUGAAAUGCGUAGAUAUCGGGAAGAACACCAGUGGCGAAGGCGCUCUGCUGGGCCAUAACUGACGCUCAUGGACGAAAGCCAGGGGAGCGAAAGGGAUUAGAUACCCCUGUAGUCCUGGCCGUAAACGAUGAACACUAGGUGUCGGGGGAAUCGACCCCCUCGGUGUCGUAGCCAACGCGUUAAGUGUUCCGCCUGGGGAGUACGCACGCAAGUGUGAAACUCAAAGGAAUUGACGGGGGCCCGCACAAGCGGUGGAGUAUGUGGUUUAAUUCGAUGCAACGCGAAGAACCUUACCAGGGUUUGACAUCCUGCGAACCCCUGAGAAAUCGGGGGGUGCCUUCGGGAGCGCAGAGACAGGUGGUGCAUGGCUGUCGUCAGCUCGUGUCGUGAGAUGUUGGGUUAAGUCCCGCAACGAGCGCAACCCACGUCUUUAGUUGCCAGCAUUCAGUUGGGCACUCUAGAGAGACCGCCGGUGAUAAACCGGAGGAAGGUGUGGAUGACGUCAAGUCAUCAUGCCCCUUACAUCCUGGGCUACACACGUACUACAAUGCUACGGACAAAGGGCAGCAAGCUCGCGAGAGUUAGCAAAUCCCAUAAACCGUGGCUCAGUUCAGAUCGUAGGCUGCAACUCGCCUACGUGAAGGAGGAAUCGCUAGUAAUCGCAGGUCAGCAUACUGCGGUGAAUACGUUCCCGGGCCUUGUACGC